CUCUCUUUCUCUCUAAUUGUUGUUUGUUGGUGGAAUUGAGGUCUAUAAUGGUUUAAAUCGAUGUUUUUAUUUAUCAUCAUUUCUGUUUCUGGUAUAUAUAUGUGUUAAGCUUUAUUUUGUGGUUCAUGGUUUAUUGUUUGGUGGUUGCCUAAUUAGAACUAUGGCAGAAAUUGCAAGGAAAUUGUGAAAUUGGGCAUGGCAAUUUCAUCCUCUCUCUGUUUUUUUUUUUUUUUUUGGCUGUGUCUGUUCUUUGUAGCUGUGUCUAUUCAAACCCCAAAACAGAGGCACUUCAGUUCUUCAGUUUUUUGCUUCCAGAUUUGGUUCUAUCUGUUAGAUUUUUCUGGGUUUUGUUUUUACGCCUUGAAUUUUUGGUCAACUGGUGAUUAUUGGGUUGAAUUCUCACUCUCUGCUCUCGAACUCGGCUUGCAAGCAUUGUUUGGUGGUUGCCUAAUUAGAAAUAUGGCAGAAAUUGCAAAGAAAUUGUGAAAUUGGGCAUCGCAGUUUCUCCCACCUUUUUUUUUUUGGUGCCCUUCUGGCUGUGUCUGAUCUUUGUGGCUGUGUCUGUUCAAACCCCAAAACAGAGGUUUCUAAUUUGACAGAACCUUUCUGAAGAGUAGAAAAAAAUUUCGACAUUGUCGAGGAAGCAUCAUUGUAUCAGCGAAGUUUCAGUUCGGUUCUUAUCCGUGAGACAUCUACUGCCACCAUUGAAGAGGAAGAUCAACAAACAGCAAAAACCCAAUUCAGCAUCAACACCCACCCUCCCUUCGAACUCGCACUUGGAAGGUUCGAUUUCUGCCUCUCAAUGUGUUCAUACACUCAAUGUGUGUCAAUUGAAAUUUGAUAUGAACUGGUUUGUCUAUAUGGUUGCAACAUAUCAUCUAGUAUCUAAAAUAUCGGUACCCAAUUUCUUGCUCACUGUAAUGGUGUUGAGUAAAAUUUGUGACAAUUUACACAUACAUAUUAUCUUUAUGUGUACGAACUGGUUUGAGGAAGAUGGUUGUGGUUUCCAGUGUCAAUGUUGUAAAAAUAAAAAAGAAAUGAUCGGAUUCAUCGAAGGAAAAUGUCAAGCAUCUUUUAUGGUUGUUUAAAUUCGACUCAACCAAGAGAUCAUCAGUUACACAUUGGGGAGAAUCGGUGGUCGUCACAAAUCUAAGAAGUGCGACUCUGCCAUUUGGCAUUAUAUUACACUACUCUGCCUUUUCCCAAUUUAACCUCUCAAGUUCGUUUUAUUUAAUCUACUAUAUUGUGCCUUCUUUUAUUUAUUUUGAAUCCUUCAAUGGCUUAAUCUCUGUUUUACCUGUUUUGUACAUUGUAGGAGAUAGUGGUUUAUUUAUUUUUUAUUUUUUUAAUUAAGGUGUGAAUUGUUUUGUUAAUGUAAUGUAAAUAGGAAGGAGGGUUUCUUAAGUCAGAGAUUGUCAUUUCUUUUUGGUAAUGAGGGUAUACUGAGUGACCCCAAGGGGUCAAAUGCUUCAUGUGUUCUGUUUUGUUGAUGUCAAAAUGUAAUUCUAGAUAGAGAAAGAAGGUGAGAGUUUGUCAAUGGAUCACAAUGUUUUAUUGAUUUUGCAAUGAAAAUUUGAGGAGAAACAGAUUGUAAUGAUAGAAGAGAUGAUGUUUUACUGUUUGACAGUUUCAAAAUAGAGAGAAAAUGUUGGAGAGAGAGAGAGAGAGAGAGAGAGAGAGAGACAACUGUAUUUAUCUGUGACUCAUGCAGGUUCAUUGAUUUUUGUAAUAUUCAAACUGUGAGAGAGACAUAGUAUAGAGAUUGAAGAGACAAUCUCAUAGAGAACAACUGAGAGGGGUUUUCUUUCAUCGUAACUAACUUUGCUUCAUAUGUUCUGUUUUAAAUCAUAUAUGCAACCUCGGCUGUUGUUUUUGUUUUUGGUUGGGUUUGUUCAGGUUGAAUUUCCCUUGUUGCAAUUCAAACGACGCUACUCCUCCUUCAGAGAUAAUCAUCAGGUUUGGCACUUAUUACAAGGAAUGAAGCACUACUCUGGACCGAUGGGAGGUACUUCUUGCAGGCAGCACUGGAGUUAAGUGACCAGUGGAAGCUCAUGCGCAUGGGAGGAGACCCAGUUGUGGAUGUCUGGAUGGUAGAUCAAUCACCUUGUGUUGCCGUCGUCGCCGUCGCCUCCAACGUCUUUGGCUCUUGGGUUUCAGUUCCAUAUGACGGACUAGGAGCUUGUGCAGUACUACCUCAAGCGUAAGGCCUCUGGGAAGCCAUUCCACUUCGAUGUCGUCUCGGAAAUCGAUGUCUACAAAUCUGAGCCAUUGGAGCUCUCCGAAAUCUACAGAAAUUUGAAGUCGUUUCGCUCGAGACAUUAUCCCCGGGAACAAGUUUUCCAAGAUCAACGCUUUCCGGCUCAUCCCGGAGAGUUUACUCUCUCUGUCUCUCUAGAAAUUUAUAUAAAUAUAUAAGUUUGUGAGUAGAGACCACCAUCUACUCCUUACAUCCAACAAAUGUUCUAUUUGUCCCUUUUUUGAUGAAUUUCUUGACCCACAACAACGGUGGAAACAACGUAGAGAAUACCCUAAAAGCUCCAUGGUCAUCUUCUCCAUUUAUUCAUCAGAUCCAAAGCUCACAGACCUGUGGGACUAAAGGAGGGGUGGAUUCAGCAAAGGAUAUUCACUCUCUUCAAUUACAUUGGUGGAUGGAUGUUGUUGUGGUCUUUACUUUAUUGUUUUACCUUUUUUUAUGUUUCUGAUAUACUAGGUGUGGUGGAUUUUAUUUUAUUUAUUUUAUUUUCUUUGUUUUUAUUGGGUUGAAUUUGUAUUUAUUUUUUACCAUUAAUUUUGUUUUCAAAAAAUAUUUAAUGAUCAUGAUUACUCCAUUCAAGGUGGUUUUUUUUUUUCCAAUUUCAUGGUGUGUGUUCAUCUGAGCAAACCAAAUGGAUAGUUGGGGUUAUUUGAUCUUUUAUUUUUAUUUUUUAUCAGUUGUUGUUCAUAGCAUUUCAAUGCACAAUGUUAACUUAUUAAUAUUCUUUAAUAUGAUGCUUGGCUUUUAUUGGGGA